UUUAAAACGUUGAUGGAACAAGUAUGAAGCAUUCCACUCUAAAGAGAGGUGUACCUUGGCUGAAAGUACACUGGGUAAGGGGCUUUUGAACGCUACUCCUGAGUGCAGAUAAAUCUCUGACGUUCGCCGCGUUAAGGCGUUAAAGUGAUAGUUAACAGAUAUAGUUAACUAUAAUUAGGGUGGUACCGCGUGAUAACUCUCGUCCCUUUU
rnacentral:ncRNA from 1 species